rnacentral:lncRNA from 1 species
ACACGAAUAGAAUUAAAUUCUAGCUCUAGUAGCUCUAGCAACUCCAACAAGGCUCCAACAACUCUAGCAAUGCUCCAAUAUAGCUCUAGCUCCAGCAACUCUAGCAAGGCUCCAAUAUAGCUCUAGCAACUCCAGCAAAGCUUCAGUAGGGCUACAAUAACUUCUUGGCUUUAAUAGCAUUCCAGUAGCAAUGGAGCUCCAGUAGUAGGCAAAUCAUCCAAGUUUUCAUCCACAAAAAUAUAUCCACUUUUCAUCUAAACUAUGUUCAAUAAUACUCAUCCAUAACACUUUUCAUCCAACUCUGUUACAAAAACCAGAUGAAUAACAUUUUUUUGAAACCUAGAAUGUGCCAGAAGCCAUGGGGAGAGCAAUUC